ensembl:lncRNA
GCCGAAUACAACAGCCGAAUAAGUGAAAUGCUUACUUACAGGCCCUAACCAACAGUGAUCUUUAAGUAAAAAAUAGGUAUUAGGUGAACAAUAGAUAAGUAAAGAAAUAAAAAAACAACAGUAAAAAGACAGUGAAUAAUAACAGUAGCGGGCUAUAUACAGUAGAGAGGCUAUAUACAGUAGAGAGGCUAUAUACAGUAGUGAGGCUAUAUACAGUAGAGAGGAUAUAUACAGUAGUGAGGCUAUAUACAGUAGAGAGGCUAUAUACAGUAGAGAGGAUAUAUACAGUAGCGAGGCUAUAUACAGUAGAGAGGCUAUAUACAGUAGAGAGGCUAUAUACAGUAGUGAGGCUAUAUACAGUAGUGGGGCUAUAUACAGUAGAGAGGCUAUAUACAGUAGAGAGGCUAUAUACAGUAGUGAGACUAUAUACAGUAGAGAGGAUAUAUACAGUAGAGAGGCUAUAUACAGUAGUGAGGCUAUAUACAGUAGUGAGGAUAUAUACAGUAGAGAGGAUAUAUACAGUAGAGAGGAUAUAUACAGUAGAGAGGCUAUAUACAGUAGUGAGGCUAUAUACAGUAGUGAGGCUAUAUACAGUAGAGAGGAUAUAUACAGUAGUGAGACUAUAUACAGUAGUGAGGCUAUAUACAGUAGUGAGGCUAUAUACAGUAGAGAGGCUAUAUACAGUAGAGAGGCUAUAUACAGUAGAGAGGCUUUAUACAGUAGAGAGGCUAUAUACAGUAGCGAGGCUAUAUACAGUAGAGAGACUAUAUACAGUAGCGAGGCUAUAUAUGGGUAUUAUUUGACAUUACAUUAUAACUACAUAAUAAUAACCAUUUUAUUGAUCUUAUAAUUUCCCCCAUCUUGGCCUGAUCUAGUGAUACUCAUUUCUACAGUAUUUUUCUGACAAUUUGCCAUUUAGAAUGGAUAAUUUCUCCCCUCAUUUCACUCUCUCAGCUUUUGAUACAUGGGAGAGAUGCUGUUAUAGAAACCUCCCUGAUAACUGCAACCAUCCAACCACGAGUCAAAUGAUAUAUCCAGCUGCUUUCUUUAUUAUUUUACAAAUUUGAUUCAUCAUUAAAAUAAUGAUAAUAAUCCCAUCCCACAUGAACAAACCAGCAUGUUCCGUACGAAACUGAAAGGGUGAAACAGGACCCUGCAGUACAACAGUUGAAUCCUUUUGCUCCAGUAGUGGCACUCUGUCUCGUUGCUGUGAGAUUCCUCUCCUCUGCCCUCCUCGGGUGUAACUUAACUGAAGGUACACAACACAGAGCUUGAACAAAGGUUCAGGGUUUUGUCAAUGUCAGGGUUUUGUUUGUUGACUUUUUCUUCUGCCUUCAACACACUCCAGCCUUACAUUCUGGCACAGAGACUCAUUUGGGACUUCUUAGAUGGAGGGCUGGUUUUGUGACUGUUGGACUUCCUGAGCCAGCGGUCACAGCUCUCCUCGGGGAUGUGUUUUAGUCCCCACUCCUGCACACUAAUAGUUGUACUAGUUCCCAUCUUGACAAACACCGUAACUUUGCAGAAGACACUGCCCUCAUCAGGCUGUUGCAUGAUGAUGAGGAACAUCAUGGCCCGGUCCUAGAUUACUUUGUAGAAUGGUGUGAUGAAUCACACUCGGUCCUCAAUACCAAUAAGACCAAAGAGAUGUGCAUUGACUUCAGUAGUGUACAACACCUACCUCUGCAACAUCUAUCAGAGGUCAAAAUAUAGAGAUUGUAGAGGAAUACAAAUACCUGGGUGUCCUCUAGGACAAUAAGCUUCAGUGGAGUAAAUGUACAGACCUGAUCUACAAAAACAGUCAACAGAGACUGUACUUUCUCAACAAGCUGGGAUCUGUUAAUGUAGACUGUACUAUACUGACUCUGUUUUACAAAUCUUUCAUUGAGAGUAUUUUAACUUUUUGUAUUAUAUUUUGGUUUGGCAAUGCCACUGUCAGCCAGAGAAACAUGCUGAGAGGGAUUAUCA